rnacentral:tRNA from 1 species
GCGGAAGUGGUGGAACUGGUAGACACGUACGUUUGAGGGGCGUAUGGCGCAAGCCAUGGGGGUUCGAGUCCCCCCUUCCGCACCA